CCCUUGGUAGUCUAGUUGGUUAUGGCGUUCGGCUGUAAUUGUGAUAAUUGUUACCGAAAAGUCACCGGUUCGAUUCCGGUCCGAGGGA